UAUUCUGCCCUACGGGGAAGGAUGAGAAGCUUCGACUAAGGUUCGACUCGAGCGUCAGCGAGAGAACGUUGCCGCAGGCAACGGCCCGAAGGGCGAGGCGCUUUAGCGCCGAGUAAUCCUUUCCCCACUACUG
rnacentral:sRNA from 1 species